rnacentral:tRNA from 1 species
GGGGCCGUAGCUCAGUUGGGAGAGCGCCAGCUUUGCAAGCUGGAUGUCAGGGGUUCGAGUCCCCUCGGCUCCAC